GGUUCGUUGGUGUAAAUGGAUAACAUCCCUGAGGUGGAAUGAUUCCACUUCUGAUUGAGGUCCUUGAGGAAGAUAUUGGUUCGAAUCCAAUACGGAUCA